CGAAGAUACACGCAAAUAAUUAUUAUAUUUGUAUAUUAAUAAUUUGUCCAAUCUAACGAUACAAAUUAGUAAAACAUUGGGAAAAAUGAAAUGACGUUACAAAAAAUUUUAAAGAUCGAAAACACACCAGACAAGGGCCGGCCGUAUCAGAGUUGGGAACAUUAUUUUUCUUUCCAACAAAAUAAUACUUACAAUUACUGAAAUAACAAAGUAACACGGAUACUGUUAAUAAAAGACAACGAUGUCGUCGUCGUAGAAAUUAUUAAUGUACGACCGCGGAUAAAAAUAAUAAACUAGAUACAUCUAGGAUUUUUUUAUAGUCAAUUCAAUUAAUUUUUACACAUAAAUCAUUGCCGACGAAUAUCGAAUCUGG